rnacentral:tRNA from 1 species
GGCAAUUUAGUUUAAUUUUAGAAUUCCUGUUUUACACAUAGGGGGAGAGCUUUUUCUGUUGUCA